AGUCACUGACAUUAGAUACCCCGGUAGUCCCAGCCGUAAACGAUGCGCGUUAGGUGUAUCGACGACCACGAGUCGUCGAGGUGCCGAAGGGAAACCGUGAAACGCACCACCUGGGAAGUACGGUCGCAAGGCUGAAACUUAAAGGAAUUGGCGGGGGAGCACCACAACAGGUGGAGCCUGCGGUUUAAUUGGAUUCAACGCCGGACAUCUCACCGGAUAAGACAGCUGAAUGAUUGUCAAUCUGAAGGUUUUACAUGACUAGCUG
rnacentral:rRNA from 1 species